CUUUCUUCAUAUUAUUUUCCUUCUCUUUCUUCUUAUUUUUCUCCUUAUUCUUCUUCUUCUUCUAGUCUCCUUCUUCUUCUUCUUCUUCUUCUUCUUCUUCUAGUCUUCUUCUUCUUCUUNNNNNNNNNNNNNNNNNNNNNNNNNNNNNNNNNNNNNNNNNNNNNNNNNNNNNNNNNNNNNNNNNNNNNNNNNNNNNNNNNNNNNNNNNNNNNNNNNNNNNNNNNNNNNNNNNNNNNNNNNNNNNNNNNNCUUCUUCUUCUCCAACUUCAUCUUCAUAUUCUGCAUCACCAUCAUCAUCAUCAUCUUCUUCUUCUUCUGAGCUAAUUAUCCUCCAAAAUGACAUAAUUAGCUUAUUUAGUUCAUUUAUGAAAUAAUUAUCUUAGUUAGGUCAUAAAUAGCAUAAUAACCUUGGUUACCUCAUAAAUGUUAUAUACUUAGCUUGUUUUCCACUAAAAUAACAUAAUUAGCUUAGUUAGGUCAAAAAUGUCAUAAUAACUUUGGUUAGCUCAUAAAUUUCAUAUACUUAGCUUAUCUUCCUCCAAAAUGACAUAAUUAGCUUAGUUAGGUAAGAAGUGGCAUAAUAACCUUGGUUAUCUCAUAAACGUUAUAUACUUAGCUUGCUUUCCUCUAAAAUGACAUAAUUAGCUCAGUUAGUUCAAAAAUGACAUAAUGACGUUGGUUAGCUCAUAAAAGUCAUCUACUUAGCUUAUCUUCGUCCAAAAUGGCAUAUUUAGCUUAGUUAGGUCAGAAAUAGCAUACGAACCUUGGUUAGCUCAUAAAUGCCAUAUCCUUAGCUUAUUUGCUUUUACAAUGACAUAAUUAGCUUAGAUAGGUCAAAAAUGGNNNNNNNNNNAUUAUAUACUUAGCUUGCUUUAUCUAAAAUGACAUAAUUAGCUUAGUUAGUUAAAAAAUGACAUAAUAACCUUGGUUAGCUCAUAAAAGUCAUAUACUUAGCUUAUCUUCCUCCAAAAUGGCAUAUUUAGCUUAGUUAGGUCAGAAAUAGCAUACUAACCUUGGUUAGCUCAUAAAUUCCAUAUCCUUAGAUUAUUUGCUUUUACAAUGACAUAAUUAGCUUAGAUAGGUCAAAAAUGGCAUAAUAACCUUGGUUAGCUCAUAAAUGUCAUAUACUUAGCUUAUUUUCCACCAAAAUGACAUAAUAAGCUCAAAAAUUGCAUAAAAUAAAAAGAAAGAAUAGAAGAGGAAAGAGAAGUAAAAGAAAUAAUAAAAGAAAAAGAAUGAGCUUCUUAUUUCUUUCUUCUUAUUAUUUUCCUUCUCUUUCUUCUUCUUUGUCUUCUUCUAGUCUUCUUAUUCUUUUCUUCUUCUUCUAGUCUUCUUCUUCUUCUUCUUCUUCUUCUUCUUCUUUUCAUCAUCAUCAUCAUAAUCAUCAUCAUCUUCUUCUUCUUCUUAUUUAAUUAUCCUCCAAAAUGACAUAAUUAGCUUAUUUAGUUCAUUUAUGACAUAAUUAUCUUAGUUAGGUCGGAAAUGACAUAAUAACCUUAGUUAGCUUAUAAAUGUUAUAUACUUAGCUUGUUUUCCUCUAAAAUAACAUAAUUAGCUUAGUUAGGUGAAANNNNNNNNNNCGUCUUCUUCUAGUCAUCUUCUUCUUCUUCUAGUCUUCUUCUUCUUCUUCUUCUUUUCAUCAUCAUCAUCAUCAUCAUCAUCUUCUUCUUCUUAUUAUUAUUAUUUAGUUACCCUCCAAAAUGACAUAAUUAGGUUAUUUAGUUCAUUUAUGACAUAAUUAGCUUAGUUAGGUCGGAAAUGGCAUAAUAACCUAUGUUAGCUUAUAAAUGUUAUAUAAUUAGCUUGUUUUCCUCUAAAAUAACAUAAUUAGCUUAGUUAGGUGAAAAAUGGAAUAAUAACCUUGGUUAUCUCAUAAAUGUCAUAUACUUAGCUUAUCUUCCACCAAAAUGACAUAUUCAACUUAGUUAGGUGAGAAAUGGCAUAAUAACCUUGGUUAGCUCAUAAAUGUCAUAUACUUAGCUUGAUUUCCUAUAAAAUGACAUUAUUAGCUUAGUUAGGUAAAAAAUGGCAUAAUAACCUUGGUUAGCUCAUAAAUGUAAUAUACUUAGCUUGUUUUCCUCCAAAAUGACACAAUAAGCUCAAAAAUGGCAUAAAAAGGAAAAUAAAGAAUAGAAGAGGAAAGAGAAGAAAAAGAAAGAAUAAAAGAAGAAGAAUGAGCUUAUUAUUUCUUUCUUCAUAUUAUUUUCCUUCUCUUUCUUCUUAUUUUUCUCCUUAUUCUUCUUCUUCUUCUUCUAGUCUUCUUCUUCUUCUUCUUCUUCUUCUUCUAGUCUUCUUCUUCUUCUUCUUCUUCUUCUUCUAGUACUACUACUACUACCACUACUACUACUACUACUACUUCUUCUUCUUCUUCUUCUUCUUCUUCUUCUUUUCUUCUUCUUCUUUUUAUUCUUGGUCAUCUUCAUCAGCAUCAUCAUCAUCAUCAUCAUCAUCAUCAUCUUCUUCUUCUUCUUCUUCUUCUUCUUCAUCUUCUUAGCAAAUUGUCCUCCAAAAUCACAUAAUUAACUUAUUUAGUUCAUUCAUGACAUAAUUAGCUUAGUUAGGUUAGAAAUGGCAUCAUAACCUUGGUUAGCUCGUAAAUGUUAUAUACUUGGCUUGUUUUCACAUAAAAUGACAUAAUUAUCUUAAUUUGGUUAAAAAUGGCGUAAUAACCUUGGUCAGCUCAUAAAUGUUAUAUAAUUAGGUUAUCUUCAUAUAAAAUGAUAUAAUUAGCUUAGUUAGGUCAAAAUGACAUAAUAACCUUGGUUAGCUCAUAAAUGUCAUAUUCUUAGCUUAGUUUCCUCUAAAAUGACAUAAUAAGCUUAGUUAUGUAAAAAAUGGAUAAUAACCUUGGUUACCUCGUAAAUGUCAUAUUUAGCUUAUUUUCCUCCAAAAUGAUAUAAUAAGAUAAAAAAUGGCAUAAAAAGGAAAAGAACGAAUAGAAGAGGAAAGAGAAGAAAAUGGAAGAAAAAAAGAAGAAGAAUGAGCUUAUUCUUUCUUUCUUCUUAUUAUUUUCGUUCUCUUUCUUCUUCUUCUAGUCUUCUCCUUCUCCUUCUCCUUCUCCUUCUUCUUCUGGUCUUCUUCUUCUUCUUGUUCUUAGCUAAUUAUCCUCCAAAAUGACAUAAUUAGCUUAUUUAGUUCAAUUAUGACAUAAUUAGCUUAGUUAGGUCAGAAAUGGCAUAAUAACCUUGGUUAGCUCGUAAAUGUUAUAUACUUACCUUGUUUUCCGUAAAAAUGGCAUAAAAAAAGAGAAGAUGAAAGGAAACAAAAAUAAAGAAUAAAAUAANNNNNNNNNNNNNNNNNNNNNNNNNNNNNNNNNNNNNNNNNNNNNNNNNNNNNNNNNNNNNNNNNNNNNNNNNNNNNNNNNNNNNNNNNNNNNNNNNNNNCAUACCUAGCUGACCAAGGCAAGCAGCCCUUUGACCAUGACUGAGCAUAUGUUACUUUGCAUGAUUAGAAUAGAAAGUAUUUUCGUUGCAUAUGAUCAUAAGUGCCGGUAAUCAUUUGAUAUGAUUUUAGCGAUGGCUCCCCCGGAGCACAUGCAUUGAGCUUGAUCCUACCCCUUGAGGAUCUUGCUAACACCAUGUUGACAAGUAAAGAUAGAAGUAGUAUUAUCAUGAGCAUGUUGAUGACAUAAAGCAAGAGUUUAUGAAAACCCCGUCGGGUGCCACUAAUGCCCGAGGGUGAUGAUGAGUUAGGUGGUCACUUUUGGUGAAGUGAUGCACCUGGUAUUUGUGUGAGUAUGGUUUCGGAAGGGGAUUAGAUUUAUGAUGUGUCGAACGUCCCAACCUUACCAGUACGUCCACGUUACCCCUUAUGGGACGGGGCUAUGUUGAUUACUUUGGUCGGUCUAGCAAAGAGCCACAUUACUAGUGGCGGGAGUGAUGUGUGGUCACUCUUGUGAUAGGGUCGUGCCAGGUAGGACGACUAUGCCAUUUUUAUGAGUUCCAGUCACACCGUNNNNNNNNNNCCCCGCACGGUUGGUACUGUCCAGAGUUGGUGCUCGUAAUAUGAACAACAUGUGGGCUGAAAACAAACGAGUGGACUGAUACGUCUCCAGCGUAUCUAUAAUUUUUUAUGGUUUCAUGCUAUUAUCUUGUCAAACUUUGGAUGUUUUGCAUGCCUNNNNNNNNNNNNNNNNNNNNNNNNNNNNNNNNNNNNNNNNNNNNNNNNNNNNNNNNNNNNNNNNNNNNNNNNNNNNNNNNNNNNNNNNNNNNNNNNNNNNNNNNNNNNNNNNNNNNNNNNNNNNNNNNNNNNNNNNNNNNNNNNNNNNNNNGACCCCUUUCAGAGGAGAUUUUGAAAUGGAGUCCAAACGGAAUAAAAUCCCCGAAAUGAAUUUUUCUGUAACGGAAGAAGAUCAGGAGACUUGAGAGCCAAGGCAGGGGGGCCCAGGGGCCCCACAAGCCCUCACCCCGCAGCCAGGGGGAGGCCGCAGCCCACAGGCUUGUGAGCCCCCUGGACACCCUUUGCCCUAGGGGUUGCGCCUAUAUAUUCCCUAAAAAUCCCAAAAAAAUCAGGAGAUCAUCGAAGUACUUUUCCGCCACCGCAAGCUUCUGUCUCCGCAAGAUCCCAUCUGGGGCACGUUCUGGUGCACUGCCGGAGGGGGGAUUUGGAUAUGGAGGGCUUCUUCAUCAAGACCAUGAUCUCUCCGUUGAUGCAUGAGUAGUUCACCAUAGACCUACGGGUCCAUAGCUAGUAACUAGAUGGNNNNNNNNNNNNNNNNNNNNNNNNNNNNNNNNNNNNNNNNNNNNNNNNNNNNNNNNNNNNNNNNNNNNNNNNNNNNNNNNNNNNNNNNNNNNNNNNNNNNUAAACUGAGGGAAAUACUUACUGCUCUUGUGUUGCAUCACCCUUUCCUCUUCAAUGGGAAAACCAACGCAAGGCCAGUCUCCAUCAACGUGUCAAUUUCUGGCGGUGUUUUUUGUUGUCGUAGAACGGACCUCUUUGUCUAGUAUCGUCAGGGGAAAGGCAUUGAUCGGGUACUUACAUUGGGUAUGUUAUAUACCGCGAGUCAUGGAUGACACGGAAGUUUCCCGGAUCUCGUGGGUCCAGCGUACUACCUGUGUAGAGUGUAAAACUAUUCGAAUAGCCAUGUCCACGGUCAAGGACAGUUGGGUAAUCCUUCUUAAACUACGUCCAGCUAUUUCCGCAUAAACCAAGUGUGUGUGUGUGAGGUGAUUAAAAGGUGUUGUUAUGAAAGUAAUUAUAUGACCAAGUUUGGAGACUUUUCAUAUAGGGUGAGCCUGGAUGGCUCAGCCCUCGACAGAUAUACCGAUAUAUGUAACAUGUUCUUCAAAAGUAAUUCUUUAACUUGAUGCAUAUUCAUGAUUAUUCNNNNNNNNNNCGUGAUUAAAAGGUGUUGUUAUGAAAGUAAUAAUAUGACCAAGUUUGGAGACUUGUCAUAUAGGGUGAGCCUGGAUGGCUGAGCCCUCGACAGAUAUAUUGAUAUCUGUAACCUGUUCUUCAAAAGUAAUUCUUUAACUUGAUGCAUAUUCAUGAUUAUUCCACGAAGAUGAGUUGCACUGAAGAUGCAUGAUAUUGUUAUCCUUCACUUUCAUUGUUCAUAUCAUGGGUUGUUUGCGAGUACAUUCAAAAGUACUCAUUGGCUUGCCACUGGUUAUGUUAUUGACCAAACAUGGAAGGACCGGAGUUUGGAGAUGAGUACGUCUUCGGAGACGCCCCCACGAACUAGGACGCUUCCGAGUCAGAAUGCCUGUCGGUGUAGGCUUGAUGGCAUGGGCACCCGAUUAGCCCCUAUGGUUUCCGCUACUAGAUGUAUCAGAGUGAUUUGGUCUUAGGCCCUGCUUUGUGAACUUGACCAUUCGGUCAUUUGUUGUAAUAAUCAGGUACUUAGAUGUAAGACUCUUUUAUUCGGCAUCUGUGUUCGGUGAGCAUUGAUCUCGGGGAUCACUGAGCACAGCGAUCUCGACUCGUAAGUCGGGGUCCCCACAGAGCUGGUGUCAGAGCCAUCCUGACUAUAGGAAGCCUUAGGUAGCAUGGAUGAUAGCCGAAACGAUUAGUGCACAUAGACCUUAACUUGAGAACCUGCACCCACUAAAAACUUUCUAACCCUCUCCUCUACAUCUUGUAGAUGGCCGCCGUACCUGAGAUGCUUCUGGAGACCCAUAUACCUCUACCACGAGCACUAGGUCAACGCCGACACCAAGGAAUAUCACGUAGACGUGAUAGUGAAGGCUAACGACUCCCCGACUAGUUGGUUCUUUGAAGGACCAUGGAUGAAGGAUCUGAUGUUGGUCGUGGAGACUGCAGCACGAGAGGCGCUCGUGCGACUCCGCGACAUCCUUCCCGUGAUGGCUGACGAGCCAGCUACUCGUCACCUACCAUUUGUUAAGAAUGGGGUAGACGGGAGUUGGACGCUCAACCCAUCUUCUGAGGACGGGACGCCACUCAGGUUUCAGACCUACUUCAGUCUAUCCUCCGACACUUUGAUGCACCUUUUGAUCAAGGAGUCAACUAGGAUUCGCCAAGAGCUGCACCAAGUCAAGGAUUUGCUUCGCACGGAGAAGCUGAAGAACCGCAAGGUGAAGAAGGAAGGAGCACCCAUAGGACCACCUGGCUUUGCUUUCCGAGGAGGAAUACCACCGCUUCAGGCCACUCCUCUCCAGAGUCGUCGCCUAACGGCGGAAGAGUACACCGAACUCUUCGCUACCUCGCCAACCAAGAGACGUCGUGAUGGUCCAGUUCCUUCCCCUACUCCUUCAAAGAAGGGAAGCACUAAUGAAGAUGAAGAUGAAGACGAAGACGAAGACCCCGCAGAACCCGCUUACGAGACCACACAGUCGGCCGCUUAGCUUUAGCAGCAUAGGAAAUUAAGAUGUACCCCGAGCGUAGGAGUUCUUGUAUCGGUUUGCAUGAACCCGUAUGUUGUGUAAGUCUGUUUGAUGCAAGUCGCAUUCUGCCUUAGGCAGCUUGUGAGCGACUACAUUGCCUAUUUUCAAAUUCAAUGCAUUAGCUCUUUCAAAACCAUUGGCUUAAAAAAAUUCACACUAGCACAACACCAGACCCCCUAUUUACUAGAGCAUCAUCCCUCAUGAUUUCGGCCAGUUCGGCAAAAUUGACCUGUCUACUCCCCUGGCGGGAUGGUGAACGCUACUCGCAACAGCACCUUCGGCAACCCCGACUCUGCCUCUUUAGGUUAUUAGCAGGGAACCGGAGGGGAAGCUCAAGAUGGAGAUCACCACGAGCAGCAAGACGAUGUUCCACCACCACCGCCUCCUCCUGAAAGCUUGACUAUGGAUCAAUUCCUUCAAGCCCUUCGAGAGGAGCGUCAAGCCAAUAAUGGCGCUAUUCAGCAGCUGGCUCAAACCUUGGCAAACAACCCACCGCAGAACGGGAAUGGAAAUGGUUGCUCAACUCUCUCUGAGUUUAUGCGAACAACGCCACCCAUAUUCACGGAGAAGACUGAACCAUUGGAUGUCGAUGACUGGAUCUGUACUAUCGAAGACCUCCUCGCGCUGGUCAAGUGCACUGAUGAUCAUGAGAAGGUUCUUUAUGCUUCUCACUGUCUCGGAGGCACGGCCAGAGCUUGGUGGGAUGGAUUUCAGAUCAUGCAAGCAGGGCAAGUCAUCACUUGGGUUGUGUUCAAAGAUGGAUUCCGCGCUGGUCACAUUCCUCUCGGAAUGAUGACCAUGAAAGAAGCGGGAAUUCCAAGCCUUAAGGCAAGGCAGUGGAUCUGUCAAAGAGUAUUUGCAGAAGUUCAACCUCCUGUCAAGGUACGCACCUGAAGAUGUCAGCACUGAGGCGGCCAAAGUGGAACGCUUUAUGGAAGGACUCCAGCAGUCACUCCAGUAUCAGCUGGUUGUUUGUGAAUGCCGGACCUUCAGCGACCUGGUUAAUAAGGCCCUUAUGUUGGAAGAUAAGCGUCGUGCCAUGGAUGACACCCGCAAGCGCAAGCUAAUGGGUAAUGGAGGACCAAGUACACAAAGCCGCGACCAUGGCAGUCAGCUCUAGCAAGACCCAGCUAUCAGCAGCAGCAGUACAAGUAUACGACAUUUCGCCAGAAUUACCAGCCUCAGCAGCAAGUCAACGCCAAGCCAGCAAGCAAUCCGUCAAAUAACGGUGGAGUUAAGAGCAAUCUUCCAGCGCAAGUUACCUGUUUCGGAUGUGGUGAAACCCGAUGCUCCGCGCCCUAAUGCGCCAAAUCCAGGCCAAGGAGCACCAUGCAGGAAUCAGGCUCCCCACAAUCAACAGUAUCACAGCAAGGGGCAGAUUAAUCAUAUUUCCGCACAAGAGGUACCGGAAGACCCGGGCUGCAUUCUGGGUAUGUUCCUCGUCAAAUCUACCCCAGCAACAGUAUUGUUUGAUUGUGGUGCUUCGCAUUCUUUUCUUACACAAAAGUUUGCGGAAAAUGUGGUUUAGAACCUACCUUGCUUCGUGGGCAUAUGGCAAUUCAAACCCCAGGAGCAGUUUUGAAGAUCAACCUGGGGUGUAGGAAGGUCGAGAUAGUUAUUAAUGAGACGAGCUUCUCAGUGGAUCUCAUUGUGCUUAAGUCGCAAGGCCUAGAAAUAAUUCUCGGCAUCGAUUGGUUGGCCAAGCAUCAAAGCAUCUUGGACUGUGCCAACAUGGCCAUUACCAUGACAAGUCACCAAGGGGUCAAAGUCAAGUAUAUCUCUGAGCUGGUACCCGCUCGAGUACCACGGGUUAACAGCCUGUCAGAGGAAGGACUCGAUCGAGUGCCAAUAGUCUGUGAAUACCCGGACGCCUUUCCUGAUGAGCUACCAGGGAUGCCUCCUGACCGAGACAUCGAGUUCAUCAUCGAGCUCAUGCCCAGAUCAAGUCCUAUCUAUAAGAAGCCUUACGGGAUGGGAUCCGAAGAGCUAGCGGAGUUGAAGAAGCAACUGGAUGAGCAACUCAGGAAAGGGUUUAUUCGUCCAAGUGUGUCGCCUUGGGGAUCACCUGUUCUCUUCGUAUCCAAGAAGGAUGGGACUAUCAGACUUUGCGUCGAUUACCGUUCUCACAAUGAGGUCACGAUCAAGAACAAGUACCCACUCCCCAAGAUUAAAGACUUGUUCGAUCAGUUAAAUGGAGCUAAGGUUUUCUCCAAGAUCGGCCUCUGAUCUGGAUAUUACCAACUGAAGGUCCGACCUGAGGACAUACCCAAGACUGCAUUCGUGACCCGGUACGGUCUGUACGAAUGCACUAUCAUGUCUUUUGGGUUGACUAAUGCCCCAGCUUACUUCAUGUACCUCAUGAAUAAGGUCUUCAUGGAAUACCUCGACAAGUUUGUCGUCGUGUUCAUUGAUGAAAUAUUAAUCUUUUCCAAAUCCGAAGAAGAGCAUGAGCAACACUUGAAGUUAGUAGUGGAGAAGCUUCGAGAGCACCAACUUUAUGCCAAGUUCAGCAAGUGCCAGUUUUGGCUGAAUGAAGUUGGAUUCUUGGGUCAUACCAUGACAACAAGUGGAUUGGCAGUUGACCCCUCCAAGAUUACUACGGUAACCAACUGGGAAUCGCCAAUUGACAUGAAGGAAGUCAGGAGCUUCCUCGGACUCGCGGCAUAUUACCGCAAGUUCGUAGAAGGAUUCUCCCACAUCGCUUGACCCAUGACUCAGCUCUUGAAGAAAGGCAAAAAGUUCGAAUGGACACCGGAGUGUGAAGCAAGCUUUCAAGAGUUGAAGAAGAGGCUAACCAACGCCCCGGUAUUGGCCACUCUAGAUAUCAGCAAGGAGUUUGCGAUAUAUUGUGAUGCCUCCAGGACCGGACUCGGUGGGGUUCUGAUGCAAGAUGGCAGAGUUGUGGCAUAUCUGUCAUGGCAACUGCGCCCGCAUGAAGAGAACUACGCCACCCAUGAUCUUGAGUUAGCAGCUGUAGUGCAUGCUCUGAAGAUGUGGCAACAUUACUUUCUGGGAAAGCGAUGUGAAAUAUAUAGUGACCACAUGAGUCUGAAGUAUAUCUUCACCCAGAGGGAAUUGAAUAUGAGGCAACGAAGAUGGUUGGAGCUAAUCAAAGACUACGACCUUAGCAUUCAAUAUCACCCUGGUAAGGCCAAUGUAGUGCCUGAUGCCUUAAGCCGGAAGACCAGCACCUUGAACGUCUUGCUCAAGGAAAGGCAACCCGCCUUAUAUGAAGAAUUGGAGAACUUCGGGUUAGAACUAGUGGAAUCGGGAUUCCUAGAUAACCUCGAAGUCAAACCAACACUGGCGGAUGAUAUCAAAGAGGCCCAGAAAGGCCAUAAGAGCAUUGAAGGCAUCACGAAGAAGAUUCAAGAAGGCAAGGCCCCAGGAUUCUCGGUGGAUGAGCAAGGAGUAGUGUGGUUUCGGAAACGUUUAUGCGUACCCAACAAGGCUGAACUCAAGGACUUAAUCCUACAGGAAGCACAUGAUACCCCCUACUCUAUUCACCCCGGUGGUACCAAGAUGUAUCAAGACCUCCGAGAAAGAUUCUGGUGGCAAUGACAUGAAGAGGGAAAUAGCGUCUUAUGUUGCCAAGUGCGACGUGUGCCAGAUAGUCAAGGCCGAGCAUCAGCGACCCGCAGGACUGCUACAACCUCUCAAAGUGCCAGAAUGGAAGUGGGACAAGAUAGGCAUGGACUUUGUUACCAGCUUACCAAGGUCAAGCAGAGGCCAUGAGUCUAUAUGGGUUAUUGUCGAUCAUUUGACCAAAGUGGCACAUUUCAUCCCUCUCAACACCACUUACGAUGGGAACAAGCUGGCUAGUCUCUAUAUCGAGCGUAUAGUAAGCCUUCAUGGAAUUCCCAAGGAGAUUGUAUCUGACCGAGGCGCGCAGUUCACCUCGAGGUUUUGGAAAAACUUCCAAGAAGCCCUCGGAACCAAGCUCUCCUUCAGCACCACUUUCCACCCGCAAACGGGCGGACAAACGGAAAGAGUGAAUCAGAUACUCGAAGAUAUGCUCCGCGCAUGCGUCUUGGUGCAUGGAGCCAAAUGGGAAGACUGUAUGCCGAUCGCUGAGUUUUCAUACAACAACAGCUACCAGUCCAGUCUCCAAAUGGCCCCAUUCGAAGUGUUGUACGGACGAAGGUGCCGCACCCUUCUCAAAUGGUCCGAAACCGGUGAAGGGCUGAUUUUCGGGCCGGAAAUUUUGCACAAGGCAGAAGAGAAGGUGCAACUGGUCCGAGAAAAUCUGAAAGCAGCCAAGUCGCGAUAGAAGAGUUAUGCGGAUUCUCGCCGAAGGGAUGUGGAGUUCCUUCCGAGAGAUCUGGAGUACCUCCAUGUCACACCUCUCAAGGGAACCAAGCGUUUCCAUGUUAAAGGGAAACUCGCUCGAAGGUUCAUUGGACCUUUUAAGAUCACGGAAGGCGUGGAGAAGUUGCUUAUCAGUUGGAGCUACCUCCGGAACUUUCGGGUGUCCACAACGUCUUCCAUAUAUCCCAACUUGGGAAGUGUCUUAAAGCGCCAAGUCGUCCCGAUCUUUACAAGGACAUUAACCACCAGGCCAUUGACCUUCAGCCUGACCUCACCUACCGCGAGAGGCCGAUCCGCAUUCUGGACAAGGAGGAGUGUUGCACCAGAAGCUGCAUCAUCAAGUUUUUCAAGGUUCAAUGGAGCAACCACACCGAAGCCGAAGCUACAUGGGAGCGUGAAGACUAUCUCAGAUCCGAGUUUCCAGACCUUUUUAACACCUAGCUUAGGAAUCUCGAGGACGAGAUUCUUGUAAGGGGGAUAGGUCUGUCACACCAUGUUUUUACUAUCACUUAUCUGUAUUGCGAAAAUCUUAGCUUGUUAUAAAAAUUCAAAACUAAUGAUGUAAGUGCCAUGAUUUUCAUUGUAUGCUUGUGAGAGUGAUCAUGUGAUGAUAAAAACCCCAUUUCACAAUGAUAAAUUAUUUCUAAAAAUCUUUACUUGAUUAUAAUCAAGGUAAACCCUACUUUGAGUUGCACUACUUGUCCCUGAUGGCAAGAUUGGUUUCUACUCAAAGUUGGUGAUCUGAUUUUAACUUAUCUUUAUAUUCCAAAACCACAAAAAUAAUUAUUUUUAUAAUUAUUUUUAUAAUUAUUUUCCUAAUUUAAUUGAAUGUCCAUUUCUGAGGCCAGAAUUGGUAUUCCUACAUGGAAAAAUACUUUUCUGCCUUAGAAAAAUCUGAUUAAAUUUGGUGAUGAUCAGAAGGACAUAUAUUUUCCGUACAUAAUAUUUUCAACCCUAUUUUAUAUUACAAUUAUUGAAUAAAACCAGGAAAGCUAUUUUUGUCUGUUUUGACCUUUUGAAAUAUUUCCAAAGGAAGUAUUCUCAAUAAAAUCCUAGAAAAUUCCAGUGGUGUCCCUAAGCCAUAUUUGGUGUCCACAUAAAGUUUCACCUUGAUCCAAGGUGAUUAAGGACCCCAAAUAACCCAAAAACCCCUUUUGCCCAGAAUCAAGUUAGAGCAACUCUUCAUAGCAAAGUUUAUCCAAUAAGGCUGAAACUUUGCAGGAGUGCCUAAUACCUCNNNNNNNNNNUGGGAUUUGUGGGACUUAGUUUGCCCACACUCUCUUUGGAAGCGACAGAUCUGGUCAUAUUGGAGCGUUUUCAAGUUUACAAAGCUAACUUGUCCAAUGGAGCUCCAACUUGGUGAAACCCCGUGUUUUAGCACCAAACCCAAACCUGUUAAGUUGCAGCACCAGUGGUGGGGUGCAACCCCCUCAAACCACUGUCGAGCACCUUCUGACAGAUGGGAAAAAGCCAUCUUAGCCACAGUUAAACCCAACCCCUUUGCUCCAAACUUAUAGAUUAGGUGGCCAGUAUCCAUAUCUAACCCCAGUCAACUGGCCCCUUACUGGUUCAAAGUGGAAAGGCCAAAAAACCCAAUUUAUGCUUCAGUUCAAGGCUGACAACACCAGCAUUUCUUGUCUCCCUUGACCAGCCGAAGCUCCCACAAGACCCAAACGGCUAGCCACACUCACAGCCAGUGUCGGGACACGCUAGACACGUCCAAAGUGCCACAGAGCGCACCAGAAGGCCGUGGCAUGCCAAAACUGCGCUCCGGGCGUGCUACCGGAAGCCACCGAGGUGGGGGCGACGCUCUCGGCCAGUUCCAGCCUCCCCCGAGGUGUCCAACCUCUUCCCAAAAAACCCUCUGCGUCGAGCAAGCCUCAGGGCCCCUCCUCUCCCGCGCUAGACUUCGUGCGACGCGUGCCCGCGCGCACCAGAACCGGCCAAGGUUGCAUGGUUACGGAUGCGCGAUUCCCCCCCCCCNNNNNNNNNNNNNNNNNNNNNNNNNNNNNNNNNNNNNNNNNNNNNNNNNNNNNNNNNNNNNNNNNNNNNNNNNNNNNNNNNNNNNNNNNNNNNNNNNNNNUCACACACACACACUUGGUUUAUGCGGAAAUAGCUGGACGUAGUUUAAGCAGGAUUACCCAAUUGUCCUUGACCGUGGACACGACUAUUCGAAUAGUUUUACACUGUGCAGAGGUAGUACGCUGGACCCACGAGAUUCGGGAAAUUUUCGUGUCAUCCACGACUCACGGUAUAUAACAUACCCGAGGUAAGUACCCGAUCAAUGCCUUUCCCGUGACGAUACUAGACAAAGAGGUCCACUCAAUUGGUACCCAACCCACAUGUUGUACGUCUUACAAGCACCGACUCUGGACAGUACCAACCAUGCGGGAACCAACGGUGUGACUGGAACUCAUAAAAAUGGCAUAGUCGUCCUACCUGGCAUGACCCCAUCACGAGAGUGACCACACAUCACUCCCGCCACUAAUAAUGUGGCUCUUUGCUAGCACCGACCAAAGUAAUCAACAUAGCCCCGUCCCAUAAGGGGUAACAUGGUUGUAUUGGUAAGGUUGGGAUGGUCGACACAUCAUAAAUCUAGUCCCCUUCCGAAACCAUACUCACACAAAUACCGGGUGCAUCACUUCACCAAAAGUGACCACCUAACUCAUCAUCACCCUCGAGCAUUAGUGGCAGCCGACGGGGUUUUCAUAAACUCUUGCUUUAUGUCAUCAACAUGCUCAUGAUAAUACUACUUUUAUCUUUACUUGUCAACAUGGUAUUAGCAAGACCCUCAAGGUGUAGGAUCAAGCUCAAUGCAUGUGCUCCGGGGGAGCCAUCGGUAAAAUCAUAUCAAAUGAUUACCGACACUUAUGAUCAUAUGCAACAGAAAUACUUUCUAUUUUAAUCAUGCAAAGUAACAUAUGCUCAGUCAUGGUAAAAGGGCUGCUUGCCUUGGUCAGCUAGGUAUCCGGGGUCUUCGAGGUCUUCCGCUCCGAUUCCCUCGUCACACGGAUUUUCUAUCGUCGAUAAAACAAUAAAUAAGAAAUAGCUCACACAGGAACAUGUCACAAAGUCAUUUUAAAAAUGUUCUUUAUUACUGAUAAAUCUAAGUUAUCAUUUUGAAAAAUAUUUGCCUCAGUUUCUCUUGAAGGAACAUUUUUAAAAUUAACCAAAAAGAAGCAAAACUAUUACAAUUUAGUCAUUUUUAUUAUUGUAAAAUAGAUUAGUUGUAUAAAAAUUCAUUCACUCAUUUUUAUUAAAUACUACAUAUUUUUAUAAGAAUAACAGUGAAAGAAUUAUAUAUUUACACUGGUUAAAUGUUUUUAUUAAAAUCUUAGAAACCAGAUUUUUAAAAAUAAAAAGAAAAUCGGCUAACUCCUGGGUGGCUCGGCCUGGAGCUGGGGUGGCCCAUGGCGAGCCGACAGCCUGCCCAGGCGCGUGCGCCAUCAGGUUUGAACCUGACGUGCAGGGACCUGCGGUUAGUGGCUGUGGACAACGCUAGGGAGGAGGCUGGGCCACCGAGAGGUGGGGCUCACCUGUCGGGGUCGUCUCCUACCUCUGGCCAGAGAGGAGGAGGAGCACUUCGGCGAGGUUGCCGACGCUCUCAAGCCCAACGAGGACUGGAAUGGGUUUGCCUUGCUGUCGCCUACCUGCUGGUGGUCGGAAGAAGGUCGGAGAGGCACGGGUUCGCCAGCGACGAGGAGGCCGUGGCGGAGGAGUUUCAAGAGGUGGUCGAGGAGGUGGCUAGAGACACGAAAAUGCUCGGGCGAGUUGGGGGAAAGCUUCGUGGGGCUAAGGGGAUCAGUUUGGUGGGUUGCGGGACGCAGGAGCCGUCGUGUAGCCGGAGAUCGACCGGAGCUCUGAGGCGAAGGGGCCUCGGUUGAUCUCGAGCACCGGGGCUCUGCUAGGUUGCUGGGGUGGCUAGGGAGGUACUAGUGAUCGUGGUGGAGCUACCUGAGGGGUGCUGGAGUGAGGGGGAGGGCUAUUUAUAGGCCCGUGAUGGUGAGCCGAUUCGGGAGCGCCGGUGACUCACCAUAUGGGGGGUGUAGAGAGAGGCUGGGGCCGAAACCACGGUCUUAGGACAUGGGUUUGGACUACCAGAGCCAUCUACUGCAGAGGGAGAGAGAGGGGGAAAUCGCCCAUCCGUGGGCAUGCAACCUUGGCCGGUUCUGGUGCGCGCGGGUACGCGUCGCACGAACUCUAGCGCGGGAGAGGAGGGGCCCUGAGGCUUGCUCGACGCAGAGGGGUUGUCGGGGAAUAGGUUGGACACCUCGGGGGAGGCUGGAACUGGCCGAGAGCAUAGCCCCAACCACGGUGGCUUCCUGUAGUGCGCCCAGAGUGUAGUUUUGGCAUGCCACGGCAUGCUGGUGCGCUCUGUGGCAAUUUGGACGUGUCUAGCGUGCCCUGGCACUGGCUAUGAGUGUGGCUAGCCGUUUGGGUCGUGUGGGAGCUUUGGCUGGUCAAGGGAGACAAGAAAUGCUGGUGCUGUUAGCCUUGAAAUGAAGCUUAAAUUGGGGAUUUUGGCCUUUCCACUUUGAACCAGUGAGGGGCCAGUUGACUGGGGUUAGAUAUGGAUACUGGCCACCUAAUCUAUAAGUUUGGAGCAAAGGGGUUGGGUUUAACUGUGGCUAAGAUGGCCUUUUCCCAUCUGUCAGAAGGUGCUCGACAGUGGUUUGAGGGGGUUUCACCCCACCACUGGUGCUGUAACUUAACAGGUUUGGGUUUGGUGCUAAAACAUGGUAUUUCACCAAGUUUGAGCUCCAUUGGACAAGUUUAGCUUUGUAAACUUGAAAGCACUCCAAUAUGACCAGAUCUGUCCCUUCCAAAGAGAGUGUGGGCAAACUAAGUCCCAAAAAUCCCAUUUUUUGGUGUGGAACCCUCAUUUGAGGUAUUAGGCACUCCUGCAAAGUUUCAGCCUUAUUGGAUAAACUUUUCUAUGAAGAGUUGCUCUAACUUGAUUCUGGGCAGAAGGUUUUUUUUGGGGUAUUUGGUGUCCUUAAUCACCUUGGAUCAAGGUUAAACUUCAUGUGGACACCAAAUAUGUCUUAGGGAUACCACUGGAAUUUUCUAGGAUUUUAUUGAGAAUAAUUCCUUUGGAAAUAUUUCAAAAGGUCAAAACAGACAGAAAUAGCUUUCCUGGUUUUAUUCAAUAAUUAUAAUAUAAAAUAGGGUUAAAAAUCUUAUGUAUGGAAAAUAUAUGUCCUUCUGAUCAUCACCAAAUUUAAUGAGAUUUUUCUAAGGCAGAAAAGUAUUUUUCCAUGUAGGAAUAUCAAUUCUGGCCUCAGAAAUGGACAUGUAAUUCAAUUAGGAAACACAAUUAUAAAAAUAAUUAUUUUUAUGGUUUUGGAAUAUAAACAUAAGUUAAAAUCAGAUCACCAACUUUGAGCAGAAACCAACCUUGCCAUCAGGGACAAGUAGUGCAACUCAAAGUAGGGUUUACCUUGANNNNNNNNNNNNNNNNNNNNNNNNNNNNNNNNNNNNNNNNNNNNNNNNNNNNNNNNNNNNNNNNNNNNNNNNNNNNNNNNNNNNNNNNNNNNNNNNNNNNCCGGGCAGCAGAUGGGAAAGAAGCUAUAUGGCCAGCUGCUGCUGCCCCCAUGGUGCACAGUCUGGUGCCAUGUGGCACCUUUGCCGUCGGCCAGCUGAUGGCAAAGCUCUUUGCCAUCAGCUGGCAGACAGCAAAGAGCCCAUAUAGCUUCUGUUUUGUUUGUUUUUUAUUAUUUCACAACAUAUAUAUAUAUAUAUAUAUAUAUAUAUAUUUCACAGCACAUAUAUGAUAUAUAUUUCACAACACAUAUAUAUAGUUCACCACACAUAUAUGAUAUACAUAUAAAGUUCAUCAAUGUACAUCCCAUAUAUCGAAAGAACCAACAUACAAAGUGUUACACUGUUCAUCCAUAGAUACAUAUACAUAUAGUUCGACAUUGUUCGUCAACUCAAAUGAAAACUAGAACUAAUAAGGCACUCCAUGAGUGCUAGCUUCCAUGCAUGUAGUACAUCCAAUCUGCAAAAAUGUGAAUAAGAAAGUCAAAAGAAGAACAACAUAUGAUNNNNNNNNNNNNNNNNNNNNNNNNNNNNNNNNNNNNNNNNNNNNNNNNNNNNNNNNNNNNNNNNNNNNNNNNNNNNNNNNNNNNNNNNNNNNNNNNNNNNCUUCUCUUCUUCUUCUCUUCUUCUUCUUCUUCCUUCUUUUCAUUUUCCUCUUUCUUCUCCUCUUCUCCUCUUCUUCUUCUUCUUCUUAUCCUCCUCCUCCUCCUCCUCCUCCUCUUCUCCUCUUCUUCCUCGUCUUCUUCUUCUUCUUCCUCUUAUUUCUAUUUCUAUUUUUCUUUAUUGUCUUGUUCUACUUAUUCUUCUUUUCUUCCUUUUUAUCUUCUUCUCCUUCUUAUUUUUUCUUCUUCUCUUCUUCUCUUCUUCUCUUCUUCUUCUCUUCUUCUUUUCUUCUUCUCCUUCUUAUUUUUUUCUUCUCCUCCUCCUCUUCUUCUUCUUCUCCUUCUUAUUUUUUUUCCUCUUCUUCUUCUUAUUCUUCUUCUUCUCCUCCUCCUCCUCCUCCUCUUCUCCUCUUCUACUCCUCCUCCUCCUCUUCUUCUUCCUCUUCUUUCUAUUAAGCUAACUAACUACAAUAACUACUACAACAACUACAAUAACAACAACUACUACAACAACUACAAUAAUAAGAACAACUACUACAACAACAAUAAAAAAUCAACUUUGUAGUUAUAAUCUAAUUCCAAAAAUCUAAAUAACAAAUAAUUAAUUAUCCCGUGGGGUGGGGGUGUGUGUGGGGGCCCACCGGCAGGGGCGGCUAUGGAGUCGUGGGCGGCGGGGCCGGGGGUGUUNNNNNNNNNNNNNNNNNNNNNNNNNNNNNNNNNNNNNNNNNNNNNNNNNNNNNNNNNNNNNNNNNNNNNNNNNNNNNNNNNNNNNNNNNNNNNNNNNNNNAGAAGAAGAAGAAGGAGACUAGAAGAAGAAGAAGAAUAAGGAGAAAAAUAAGAAGAAAGAGAAGGAAAAUAAUAUGAAGAAAGAAAUAAUAAGCUCAUUCUUCUUCUUUUAUUCUUUCUUUUUCUUCUCUUUCCUCUUCUAUUCUUUAUUUUCCUUUUUUUGCCAUUUUUGAGCUUAUUAUGUCAUUUUGGAGGAAAACAAGCUAAGUAUAUUACAUUUAUGAGUUAACCAAGGUUAUUAUGCCAUUUUUUACCUAACUAAGCUAAUAAUGUCAUUUUAGAGGAAAACAAGCUAAGUAUAUGACAUUUAUGAGCUAACCAAGGUUAUUAUGCCAUUUCUCACCUAACUAAGUUGAAUAUGUCAUUUUGGUGGAAGAUAAGCUAAGUAUAUGACAUUUAUGAGAUAACCAAGGUUAUUAUUCCAUUUUUCACCUAACUAAGCUAAUUAUGUUAUUUUAGAGGAAAACAAGCUAAGUAUAUAACAUUUAUAAGCUAACUAAGGUUAUUAUGUCAUUUCCGACCUAACUAAGAUAAUUAUGUCAUAAAUGAACUAAAUAAGCUAAUUAUGUCAUUUUGGAGGAUAAUUAAAUAAGAAGAAGAAGAAGAUGAUGAUGAUUAUGAUGAUGAUGAUGAAAAGAAGAAGAAGAAGNNNAAGAAGAAGAAGAAGACUAGAAGAAGAAGAAAAGAAUAAGAAGACUAGAAGAAGACAAAGAAGAAGAAAGAGAAGGAAAAUAAUAAGAAGAAAGAAAUAAGAAGCUCAUUCUUUUUCUUUUAUUAUUUCUUUUACUUCUCUUUCCUCUUCUAUUCUUUCUUUUUAUUUUAUGCAAUUUUUGAGCUUAUUAUGUCAUUUUGGUGGAAAAUAAGCUAAGUAUAUGACAUUUAUGAGCUAACCAAGGUUAUUAUGCCAUUUUUGACCUAUCUANNNNNNNNNNNNNNNNNNNNNNNNNNNNNNNNNNNNNNNNNNNNNNNNNNNNNNNNNNNNNNNNNNNNNNNNNNNNNNNNNNNNNNNNNNNNNNNNNNNNGCUGCGUAGCUAAUCCAAAGAACGUCCGCAAAGUAAAAUACUAUUGCUCGGCUAACUAAUACUAAUAGAAAACCGAACGGUACCUAGUGUCUAAUCAUGAGCGUUGGAUUUAAAUCGAAUGGCUAGGGGAGGGGAUGGGGCUCACAGGGGGGCUGGCUCAUGGAAGGAAGGAGAGGGGAGGAGAGAAGGAAAGAGAAAGGAGAGAGGUAGGGGGUGACCGGGGCGGGGUGGAGUCGGCCAGGUGGGGCCCGACGGCAGUGAGGGAAGGAGGGGGGCUCGGGUCGGUCGACCGGUUCCUAACACGAUCAGAUCCCGGGCCUCAAGGGAUCUGGCCCGAUUCGUUAUCCUGCGCUGAGGCGCUUUCCUAAAUAAAUAAAAAAGAUUCUGUUUUUUUUAAUUUUUUUUUCAAAAACAGAAAGUAAAAUCAAAGAAAAAGGAAAGUAAAUAAAAUCUAAAAAUAGUGAUAUUAUAUAUCAAAAUUUUCAGAAAAAAAUCUCUACAUGUUUAACAUUUUUCCAAGGUCAAAAUAAAAACUUAAAAAAAUGUUUUUUCAGAAAAAAACCCCUAAAAGCUUUAUUUUCUUUUGCAAAUAUUUUCUCAACCUAGUUUUGCUUUUCUAGGCUCAAAAUAUAUUAAAAGUGCCCCUGGUUUUGGAGGGUCAUAUUCCUCCACUCUUUCUUGCUUGGCAAGAGAAUAAUCCCCGGCACUCCGUGAGUGAAGAAGAAAACAAAAUUGCAAAACAAAAAUUGGAAGAAAUUCAAAUGCCACCUUCAUUCAAAAUCUUUAUAGUUGAAGAGGUCAUGUCAUCUUCUCUCAUUGAUUUUAAAUGGAUGAAUUUGAAUUCACCGGAAAAGGGGAACGUCAUUUUAUUCCGUCUCAUUCAAAAGUUUUUGAAAAGUUUCAAACUUCACUCAAGUUUCAAUCACUCGAACAAACAAACAAUCAAUCUAAUAAUUAUAUUAACAUUCCAAAAUUUGGGAUGUUACAAACCUACCACACUUAAAAUGUAUCUCGUCCGCGAGAUUCGAAGAGGCUAGAAACAAAGGUCAGGGUUUGGGGGUCUUCUAACAAAUCCAAUCUCCGGCAAAGCGGGAUGCNNNNNNNNNNNNNNNNNNNNNNNNNNNNNNNNNNNNNNNNNNNNNNNNNNNNNNNNNNNNNNNNNNNNNNNNNNNNNNNNNNNNNNNNNNNNNNNNNNNNAUGUUAUUGUAAUAGGUUUCACGACUUGCAUGUCGAUGAGUAUGACAACCGGCAUGAGCCAUAUGAGCUGUCUUAACUUAUUGUAUGAGAUGCAACGCCAUGUGCUUACUACUUUUACUUCAUUGCUAACGGUUAGCUAUAGUAGUAGUGAUAGUAGUAGUUGGCGUGAUGACUUCACGGAGACAUGAUGAUGGAGAUCAUGGUGUCACGCCGGUGACAAUGAUGAUCAUGCGAUGCCUGAAGAUGGAGAUCGAAAGAGCAAAGAUGAUAAUGGCCAUAUCAUGUCACUAUAUGAUUGCAUUGUGAUGUUUAUCAUGUUUUUCAUCUUAUUGCUUAGAAUGACGGUAGCAUAAUAAGAUGAUCCCUCUUAAAAUACCAAGAACGUAUUCCCCUAAGUGUGCACCAUUGCGAAGGAUCGUUGUAUCGAAGCACCACGUGAUGAUCGGGUGUGAUAGAUUCUAACGUUCGCAUACAACGGAUGUAAGCCAGAUUUACACACGCGAAACACCUAGGUUGACUCGACGAGGUUAGCAUGUACAGACAUGACCUAGAAUACAAGAGACCGAAAGGUAGAACAUGAGUCGUAUGGUUGAAUAUGAUCAACAUGAAGUUGCUCACCAUGGUGACUAGUCCGUCUCACGUGAUGAUCGGACACAGGUUAGUCAACAUGGAUCAUGUAUCACUUAGAUGACUAGAGGGAUGUCGAUUUGAGUGGGAGUUCAUACUUAAUUUGAUUAAAUGAACUUAAUUUUCAUGAACUUAAUCUAAAAGUUGUCUUUAUAAAUAUUGUAGAUGGCCAACGUCAACCUCAAUUUAAACGCAUUCCUAGAGAAAAACAAGCUGAAAGAUGAUGGUAGCAACUAUGCGGACUGGGUCCGCAACUUGAAGCUCAUCCUUGAAGCAGCUAAAAAGGCUUAUGUCCUUCAUGCGUCGCUAGGUGACCCUCCCUCUCCCGCAGCAGCCCAGGACAUUCUCAAUGUCUGGCAAACCCGGAGUGAUGACUACUCUCUGGUUAGGUGUGGCAUGCUAUACAGUUUGGAAACGGGGCUCCAAAGGCGUUUUGAGCAACAUGGUGCAUAUGAGAUGUUCCAAGAGCUGAAACUAGUUUUUCAAGCUCAUGCCCAUGUUGAGAGAUAUGAAGUAUCCGACAAGUUCUUUAGCUGUAAGAUGGAGGAGAACAAUUCUGUCAGUGAGCAUAUACUCAAAAUGUUUGGGUUACACGGUCGUUUGACUUCACCUGGAGUCGAACUUCCGGAUGAUGCCAUAAUUGACAGAAUCCUCCAGUCUCUCCCACCAAGCUACAAAGGUUUUGUGCUGAACUACAACAUGCAAGGGAUGGAGAAGACCAUUCCCGAGUUGUACUCGAUGCUCAAGUCUGCAGAAGUAGAAAUCAAGAAAGAGCAUCAAGUGUUGAUGGUCAACAAGACCACCAGUUUCAAGAAGGGCAAGGGUAAGAAGAACUUCAAGAAAGACAGCAAAGCCAUUGCCGCGCCCGAUAAGCCAGAUGCCGGGAAGAAGAAAAAGAAUGGACCCAACCCUGAGACUGAGUGCUUCUAUUGCAAGGGAAAAGGUCACUCGAAGCAGAACUUCCCCAAGUACUUAGCAGACAAGAAGGCCGGCAACGUUAAAGGUAUAUGUGAUAUACAUGUUAUUGAUGUGUACCUUACCAGUGCUCGUAGUAGCUCCUGGGUAUUUGAUACCGGUGUUGUUGCUCACAUUUGCAACUCAAAGCAGGAACUGCGGAAUAAGCGGAGACUGGCCAAGGACCAGAUGACGAUGCGCGUCGGGAAUGGCUCCAAGGUCGAUGUGAUCACCGUCGACACGCUACCUCUACAUCUACCGUCAGGAUUAGUUUUAAACCUUAAUAAUUGUUAUUUAGUACCAGCUUUGAGCACGAAUAUUGUAUCAGGGUCUUGCUUAAUGCGAGACGGCUACUCAUUUAAGUCAGAGAAUAAUGGUUGUUCUAUUUAUAUGAGUGAUAUGUUUUAUGGCCAUGCUCCGCUGGUGAAUGGUUUAUUCUUGAUGAAUCUCGAUCGCGAUGUUACACAUAUUCAUAGUGUGAGUACCAAAAGAUGUAAAGUUGAUAAUGAUAGUCCCACAUACUUGUGGCACUGCCGCCUUGGUCAUAUCGGUGUUAAGCGCAUGAAGAAGCUCCAUACUGAUGGACUAUUAGAGUCUCUUGACUUUGAAUCAUUUGACACAUGCGAACCGUUCCUCAUGGGCAAGAUGACUAAGACUCCAUUCUCAGGAAUAAUGGAGAGAGCGACCGACUUAUUGGAAAUAAUACAUACUGAUGUGUGUGGUCCAAUGAACGUUGAAGCUCGCGGUGGCUAUCGUUAUGUUCUCACUCUCACCGAUGAUUUGAGUAGUUAUGGGUAUAUCUACUUGAUGAAGCACAAAUCUGAGACAUUUGAAAAGUUCAAGGAAUUUCAGAGUGAGGUCGAGAAUCAACGUGACAGAAAAAUUAAGUGUCUACGAUCUGAUCGUGGAGGAGAACAUUUGAGUCACGAGUUUGGCACACACCUAAGGAAGUGUGGAAUCGUUUCACAACUGACGCCGCCUAGAACACCGCAACACAACGGAGUGUCUGAACAUCGUAAUCGCACUUUAUUAGAUAUGGUACGAUCUAUGAUGUCUCUUACCGACUUACCGCUAUCAUUUUGGGGAUACACAUUAGAAACUGCAGCAUUCACUUUAAAUAGGGCACCGUCUAAAUCCGUUGAGAUGACACCGUAUGAACUAUGGUUUGGCAAGAAACCUAUGUUGUCGUUUCUUAAAGUUUGGGGCUGCGAUGCUUAUGUGAAGAAACUUCAACCAGAGAAGCUCGAACCCAAAGCGGAGAAAUGCGUAUUCAUAGGAUACCCCAAGGAAUCUAUUAGGUAUACCUUCUAUCUUAGAUCCGAAGGUAAAACCUUUGUUGCCAAGAACGGAUCCUUUCUAGAGAAAGAGUUUCUCUCGAAAGAAGUAAGUGGGAGGAAAGUAGAACUUGAUGAGGUAAUAGACCCCCUCUCGAACCGGAAAGUAGCGCAGCACGGGAAAUUGUUCCUGUGGCGCCUACACCAACUGAAGAGGAAGUUAAUGAUAAUGAUCAUGAAGCUUCGGAUCAAGUUACUACUAAACCGCGAAGGUCCACAAGGGCACGCUCCGCACCAGAGUGGUAUGGCAACCCUGUGAUGGAAAUCAUGUUGUUAGACAAUGGUGAACCUUCGAACUAUGAAGAAGCAAUGUCGGGCCCAGAUUCCAACAAAUGGCUUGAGGCUAUGAAAUCCGAGAUAGGAUCCAUGUAUGAGAACAAAGUAUGGACUUUGGUGGACUUGCCCGAUGAUCACCGAGCCAUAGAAAAUAAAUGGAUCUUCAAGAAGAAGACUGAUGCAAACGGUAAUGUGCCGUUUAUAAAGAUCGACUUGUCGCAAAGGGUUUUCGACAAAUUCAAGGAAUUGACUACGAGGAGACUUUCUCUCCCGUAGCGAAGCUGAAAUCAGUCCGAAUCAUGUUAGCAAUUGCCGCCUUUUAUGAUUAUGAAAUUUUGCAAAUGGACGUGAAAACAGAGUUCCUUAACGGGAAUCUUAAGGAAGAGUUGUAUAUGAUGCAACCAGAAGGUUUUGUCGACCCUAAGGGUGCUAACAAAGUGUGCAAGCUCCAGCGCUCCAUCUAUGGGCUGGUGCAAGCAUCUCCGAGUUGGAACAUUCGCUUCAAUGAGGUGAUUAAAGCGUUUGGGUUUAUACAGGUUUACGGAGAAGCCUGUCUGUACAAGAAAGUGAGUGGGAGCUCUGUAGCUUUCCUCGUAUUGUAUGUGGAUGACAUAUUAUUGAUGGGGAAUAAUAUAGAGAUGCUGGAGAGCAUAAAGGCCUACUUGAACAAGAGUUUUUCAAUGAAGGACCUUGGAGAAGCUGCAUACAUAUUAGGCAUCAAGAUCUAUAGAGAUAGAUCGAGGCGCCUCAUAGGUCUUUCGCAAAGUACAUACGUUGACAAGAUAUUGAAGAAGUUCAAUAUGGAAAACUCAAAGAAAGGGUUCUUCCCAGUUUUGCAAGGUAUGAGAUUGAGUAAGACUCAGUCGCCGACCACGGAAGCAGAUAGAGAGAAGAUGAGUACUGUCCGCUACGCUUCAGUCGUAGGUUCUCUAAUGUAUGCCAUGCUAUGUACCAGACCUGAUAUAAACCUUGCCAUAAGUUUGGUAGGGAGGUACCAAAGUGAUCCCGGUAUGGAAUACUGGACAACGGUCAAGAAUAUCCGUAAGUACCUGAAGAGGACUAAGGAGAUGUUUCUCGUUUAUGGAGGUGACGAAGAGCUCGCUGUAAAGGGUUACGUCGAUGCUAGCUUCGACAAAUAUCCGGAUGACUCUAAGUCAUAGACCGGAUACAUGUAUGUUUUGAAUGGUGGGGCAGUGUGCUGGUGCAGCAGCAAGCAAGAAGUCAUGGCAACAUCUACAUGUGAAGCGGAGUACAUAGCUGCUCCAGAAGCGGCUCAUGAAGGAAUUUGGAUGAAGGAGCUCAUCACCGACCUUGGAGUGGUUCCAAGCGCGUCGGGUCCAAUGACACUCUUCUGUGAUAACACUGGGGCCAUUGCCAUAGCCAAGGAGCCCAGGUUUCACCGGAAGACCGAGCACAUCAAACGCCGCUACAACUCCAUCCAGGACCAUGUCCAGAGCGGAGUAAUAGAGAUUUGUAAAGUACACACGAAUCUGAAUGUUGUAGACCCGUUGACUAAACCUCUUCCUCGAGCAAAACAUGAUCAACACCAUAAUGCUAUGGGUGUUCGAUACAUCACAAUGUAACUAGAUUAUUGACUCUAGUGCAAGUGGGAGACUGUUGGAAAUAUGCCCUAGAGGCAAUAAUAAAAUGGUUAUUAUCAUAUUUCCUUGUUCAUGAUAAUCGUCUAUUGUUCAUGCUAUAAUUGUAUUAACAGGAAACAAUAGUACACGUGUGAAUAAAUAGAUCACAAUGUGUCCCUAGCAACCUCUAGUUGGCUAGCUCGUUGAUCAAUAGAUGAUCAUGGUUUCCUGAUCAUGGACAUUAGAUGUCAUUGAUAACAGGAUCACAUCAUUGGGAAAAUGAUGUGAUGGACAAGACCCAAUCCUAAGCAUAUCACUAGAUCGUAUUGUUCGUAUGCUAAAGCUUUUCUAAUGUCAAGUGUCUUUUCCUUCGACCGUGAGAUUGUGCAACUCCCGAAUACCGCAUGAGUGCUUUGGGUGUAUCAAACGUCACAACGUAACUGGGUGACUAUAAAGGUGCACUACGGGUACCUCUAAAAGUGUCUGUUGGGUUGGUACGAAUCGAGAUUGGGAUUUGUCACUCUGUGUGACGGAGAGGUAUCUCUGGGCCCACUCGGUAGAACAUCAUCAUGAGCUCAAUGUGACUAAGGAGUUAGUCACACGAUUACGUGCUACGGAACGAGUAAAGAGACUUACCGGUAACGAGAUUGAACAAGGUAUAGGUAUACCGACGACCGAAUCUCGGGCAAGUUCUAUACCGACAGACAAAGGGAAUUGUAUACGGGAUUGAUUGAAUCCUUGACAUCGUGGUUCAUCCGAUGAGAUCAUUGUGGAACGUGUGGGAGCCACCAUGGGUAUCCAGAUCCCGCUGAUGGUUAUUGGCCGGAGAAUGUCUGGGUCAUGUCUGCAUGCUUCCCGAACCCGUUGGGUCUACACACUUAAAGUUCGAUGACGCUAGGGUUAUAGGGAAAUGUUAUACGAGGUUACCAAAAUUUGUUCGGAGUCCCGGAUGAGAUCCCGGACGUCACGAGGAGCUCCGGAAUGGUCCGUAGGUAAAGAUUGAUAUAUAGGAUGGAUGGUUUUGGACAUCGGAAAUGUUUCGGGCGUCACCGGUAACGUACCGGGACCACCGGAAACGGUCCCGGGGUCCACCAGGCCCAAGAGGUAGCAUGGGACAAAAGGGGGAGGGCAACCAGCCCAAAGUGGGCUGGUGCACCUCCCACAAGAGGCCCAAGGCGCAGGAGGGAGAGAAGGGGGGGGGAAUCCUGGCGCUGGUGGGCCUAAGGCCCACCUAAGGGGUGCUCCACCCCCUCCCUCUGUCCUAGCCGCCACACCUCCCAUCUGGGGGGGCUGCCGCACCACCUAGGGGGCAACCCUAGGGGUGGCACCCCGCUCCCCUCCUCCUAUAAAUAGAGAGGGGUUUGGGGCUGUUUUGCACACGGUUUCUUCUCCCCUCGGCGCAACCCUGCUCCCCUCCUUCCUCCUCCUCCCACGGUGCUUGGCGAAGCCCUGCCAAGAGACCUCGUCUCUCCAUCGACACCACGCCGUCGUGCUGCCAGAGAUCUUCCCCAACCUCUCCCUCCUCCUUGCUGGAUCAAGGUGCGGGAGACGUCACCGGGCUGCACGUGUUUUGAACGCGGAGGUGCCGUAGUUCGGCACUAGAUCGGAAUCACAUCGCGAUUUGAAUCGCCGUGAGUACGACUCCAUCAACCGCGUUCUAGCAACGCUUCCGCUUAGCAAUCUUCAAAGGUAUGAAGAUGCAAUCACCCCUCUCUCGUUGCUGGUCUCUCCAUAGGAAGAUCUGAAUAUGCGUAGGAAAAUUUUGAAUUUAUGCUACGUUACCCACCAGUCUGAGUACAACAAUCGCUUGAAUCAAGUGGGAGUUAAUCUUCCAGAUGAGAUAGUGAUGGUUCUCCAAAGUCACUGCCACUAAGCUGCUAGAGCUUCGUGAUGAACUAUAACAUAUCAAGGAUAGAUAUGAUGAUUCUUGAGCGAUUCGCAAUGUUUGACACUCUGAAAGUAGAAAUCAAGCAGGAACAUCAAUUGUUGAUGGUUAGUAAAACCACUAGUUUCAAGAAGGGCAAGGGCUAGAAGAGAUACUUCAUGAAACAGCAAACCAAUUGCUGCUCUAAUGAAGAAACCCAAGAUUGAACCCAAGCCCGAGACUAAGUGCUUCUGUUAUGAGGGGAAUGGUCACUGAGGCGGAGCUACCCUAGAUGCUUGGUAGAUAAGAAGGCUGGCAAAGUUGACAGAAGUAUAUUUGAUAUACAUGAUAUUGAUGUGUACUUUACUUGUACUCCUAGUAGCACGAGGGUAUUAGAUACCGGUUCGAUUGCUAAGUGAUUAGUAACUCGAAAUAAAAGCUAUGGAAUAAACGGAGACUAGCUAAAGGUGAGGUGACAAUAAGUGUUGGAAGUGUUUCCAAGGUUGAUGUGAUCAAACAUCGCACGCUCCCUCUACCAUCGGGAUUGGUGUUAAACCUAAAUCAUUGUUAUUUGGUGUUUGCGUUGAGCAUGAACAUGAUUUGAUCCUGUUUAUUGCAAUACGAUUAUUCAUUUAAAGAGAAUAAUGGUUAUUCUAUUUGGUUGAAUAAUUACCUUCAAUGGUUUAUUGAAUCUCGACCGUAGUGUUACACAUGUUCAUAAUAUUGGUGCCAAAAGAUACAAAGUAAUUAUGAUAGUACCACUUACUUGUGGCACUGCCGCUUGAGUCAUGUUGGUGUAAAAUGCAUGAAGAAGCUCCAUGUUGAUGGAUAUUUGUACUCACUCAUUUUUGAAACGUUUGAGACAUGCAAACCAUACCUGUUGGUAUAAACGCAUGAAGAAACUCCAUACAGAUGGAUCAUUUGUACUCACUUGAUUUUGAAUCAUUUGAGUCAUGCAAAAUCAUAUCACAUGGAACAAGAGAGCAACUUGUUGGAAGUAAUACAUUUUUGAUGUGCGCAGUCCAAUAAAGUGCCGAGGCACGCAGUGGAUAUCAUUAUGUUCUUACUUCACUGACGACUUGAGUAGAUACAGGAGUAUUUACUUGAUGAAUCACAAGUAUGAAAUAUUGAAAAGUUCAAAGCUAUUUCAGAGUGAAGAUCGUCGUGACAAGAGGAUAAACUGUCUACGAUAUGAUCAUAGAGAUGAAUAUCUGAGUUGCGAGUUUUGGUACACAGUUGAGACAAUUGUUCCGCAAUUCAUGCCACCUAGAACACCAUAGUGUGAUGGUAUGUCCGAACGUCAUAGCCGCGCCCUAUUUGAUAUGGUGCAUACUAUGUUGUCUCUUAUCGAAUUACCACUAACGUUUAUGGGUUAUGCAUUAGAGACAACCACAUUCACUUUAAAUAGGGCAUUGCGUAUUUCCGUUGAGAUGACAAGGUAUAGACUAUGGUUUGGAGAAACCCAAGCUGUCGUUUCUUAAAAGUUUGGGGCUGCGAUGCUUAUGUGAAAAAGUUUCAGUCUGACAAGUCGAACCCAAAGCGGAUAAAUGCAUCUUCAUAGGAUAUCCAAAAUAGUUGGAUACAUCUCCUAUCUCAGAUCCGGAAGCGAAGUGUUUGUUUCUAGAAAUGGGUCCUUUCUCGAGGAAAGGUUUCUCUCGAAAGAAUUGAGUCGGAGGGUAGUGUAACUUGAUGAGGUUAGUGAACCAUCACUUCAACCAGUGUGUAGCAGGGCGCAUCAAGUUGUUCCUGUGGCGCCUACACUAAUUGAAGUGGAAACUGAUGAUGGUGAUCAUUGAGCUUCGGAUCAAGUGACUACAAACCUCGUAGGUCGACAAGGUCGCGUACUACUACAGAGUGGUACGGUAACCUUGUCUUGGAGGUCAUGUUGUUGAACAGCAAUGAAUCUACGAGCUAUGGAGAAGCGAUGGUGGGCCCGGAUUCCGACAAAUGGUUGGAGGCCAUGAAAUCCGAGAGAGGAUCCAUGUAUGAAAACAAAGUGUAGACUUUGGAAGAACUACUUGAUGGUCGUAGGACUGUUAAGUAAAGAUGGAUCUUUAAAAGGAAGACAGACGAUGAUGGUGAAAAGUCACCAUUAAGAAAAUCUCGACUUAUCGCAAAUAUGUUUCCGACAAGUUCAAAGAGUUGACUAUGAUGAGACUUUCUUGCUCGUAGCGAUGCUAAAAAUCUGUUGGAAUUAUGUUAGCAAUUGAUGCAUUGUUUGUGAAAUAUUGCACAUAGUAUGUCAAAACAUUGUUUCCUCGACGGUUCCUUGAGGAAAGGUUGUAUGUGAUACAACCAGAAGGUUUUGUCAAUCCUAAGGAUGCUAACAAGUAUGCAAGCUCCAGCGAUCCUUCUAUGGACUGGUGCAAGCAUCUCGGAGUUGGAAUAUAUGCUUUGAUGAGAUGAUAAAAGCUUUUGGGUUUGUACAAGGUUUAUGAGAAACCUGUAUUUCUAAAGAAGUGAGUGGGAGCACUAUAGAAUUUAUGAUAAGUAUAUGUGGUUGACAUAUUGAAGAUCGGAAGUAAUGUAGAAUUUCUGUGAAGCAUAAAGGGUUGUUUGAAAGGAGUUUUUUCAAAGGAAAACCUGGAUAGAGCUACUUGAACGUUGAUCAUCAAGAUCUAUAUAGAUAGAUCAAAACGCUUGAUAGAACUUUCAAUGAAAUGCAUGCCUUGACUAGUUUUUGAAGGAGUUCAAAAUAGAUCAACAAAGAAGGAGUUAUUGGCUGUGUUGUAAGGUGUGAAUUUGAGUAAGACUCAAAGCCCGACCACGGCAGGAGAAAGAGAAAGGACGAAGGUCGUCCCCUAUGCCUUAGCCAUAGGCUCUAAAGUAUGCCAAGCUGUGUACCGCACCUGAUGUGUGCCUUGCCAUGAGUCUGUCAAGGGGUACAAAAGGUGAUCUAGGAUUGAAUCACUAAAACAGCAGUCAAAGUUAUCCUUAGUAAAUAGUGGACUAAGGAAUUUUUCUCGAUUAUGGAGGUGAUUAAAGAGUUCAUCGUAAAGGGUUACGUCGAUGCAAGCUUUGAUACUAAUCCGAAUAACUCUGAGUAGUAAAACAGAUUCGUAUAGUAGAGUAGAUAUUUGGAGUAUUUCCGAAUAGCACGUAGUAGCAGCAUCUAUAAGAUGACAUAAAGAUUUGUAAAGCACACAUGGAUCUGAAAGGUUCAGAACUGUUGACUAAAACCUCUCUCACGAGCAAGACGUGAUCAAACCCCAGAACUGUAUGGGUGUUGGAUUCGUUAAAAUCACAUGGUGAUGUGAACUAGAUUAUUGACUCUAGUGCAAGUGGGAGACUGUUGGAAAUAUGCCCUAGAGGCAAUGAUAAAUUAGUUAUUAUUAUAUUUUUGUUCAUGAUAAUCGUUUAUUAUCCAUGCUAUAGUUUUAUUGAUUGGAAACACAAAUACAUGUGUGGAUACAUAGACAAAACACUGUCCCUAGUAAGCCACUAGUUGACUAGCUCGUUGAUCAAAGAUGGUCAAGGUUUCCUAACAAUAGACAAGUGUUUUCACUUGAUAACAUGAUCACAUCAUUAGGAGAAUCAUCUGACGGACUUGACCCAAACUAUGAACGUAGCAUAUUGAUCGUGUCGUUUUAUUCCUAUUGUUUUCUACGUGUCAAGUAUUUAUUCCUAUGACCAUGAGAUCAUAUAACUCACUGGCACCGGAGGAAUACCUUGUGUGUAUCAAACAUCGCAACGUAACUAGGUGACUAUAAAGGUUCUAUACAGGUAUCUCCGAAGGUGUCCGUUGAGUUAGUAUGGAUCAAGACUGGAAUUUGUCACUCCGUGUUACAGAGAGGUAUCCCGAGGCCCACUCGGUAAUACAACAUCACACACAAGCCUUGCAAUCAAUGUGACUAAGUGUAAGUCACAGGAUCUUGUAUUACGGAACGAGUAAAGAGACUUGCCGGUAACGAGAUUGAAAUAGGUAUGCGGAUACUGACGAUCGAAUCUCGAGAAAGUAACAUACGGAAGGACAAAGGGAAUGACAUACGGGUUUAUAUUAAUCCUUGACACUGAUGUUAAACCGAUAAGAUCUUCAGAGAAUAUGUAGCAUCCAAUAUGGGCAUCCAGGUCCCGCUAUUGGAUAUUAACCGAGGAGUGCCUCGGGGCAUGUGUACAUAGUUCUAGAACCCGCAGGGUCUGCACACUUAAGGUUCGGCGAUGUAUUAGUAUAGUUGAGUUAUAUGUGUGGUUACUGAAUGUUGUUCGGAGUCUCGGAUGAGAUCACAGACGUCACGAGGGUUGCCGGAAUGGUCCGGAAACGAAGAUUGAUAUAUAGGAUGGUUUCAUUUGGUCACCGGAAAGUUUCGGGCAAUUCCGGCAGUGUACUGGGAGUGACGAAUGGGUUUCGGGAGUUCACCGGGAGGGGCCCACCCACCCGGGAGUGAGCCCAAGGCACUAGGGUGAUGCCACAAGUCCUUAGUGGGGUUGUGGAGUCAGACCAAGGGGCCCAUGGCGCCACAUAAGAAAAUACCAAAGGAAAAUAAAAGAAAAAGGGAAAGAGGGAGGUGGGAAGGAAGAGGAGGACUCCUCCUUCCUAAACCGAUUUGGAGGAGUGCUCCUCCUCCUCCCCUUGGCCGGCGUACCUUGAGGGCUUGUCCCUCAAGGCUAGCCCUCCCCCUCCCUCCUAUAUAUAGUGGUGUUUUAGGGCUGAUUUGAGACAACUUUUGCCACGUGCAACUCAACCCUAAACCACAUAGUUCUACCUCUAGAUUGGAUUUCUGCGGAGCUUGGGCGGAGCCCUGCAGGAGUAGAUCAUCACCACCAGUGGAGCGCCGUCACGCUGCCGGAGAACUCAUCUACUUCUCCGUCUUGCUUGCUGGAUCAAGAAGGCCGAGAUCAUCAUCGAGUUGUACGUGUGCUGAACGCGGAGGUGCCGUCCGUUCGACACUAGAUCGGAACAUAUCGUGGGACGGAUCACAGGACGGUUCGUGGGAUGAUUCGAGGGACGUGAAGACACUCCACUACAUCAACCUCGUUUCUUAACGCUUCCUGCUGUGCGAUCUACAAGGGUGUAGAUCCAAAUCUCCUCUCGUAGAUGGACAUCACCAUGAUAGGUCUUCGUUUGUGUAGGAAUUUUUUUGUUUCCCAUGCAACGUUCCCAUCACCCCCGCCCCGGAUCGCCCUUCACUGCACUGCCAUGCCGCCAGUUCGACCUCGACGUCGCCCUCUGCCGGCCGGGCCCCUCCACCGUGCGUCUCCACCUCGCUGGCGCUCCCCUCGCCGGCCAUCACCGUCGGCCGCUCCUCCUCAUCUCGUCCCCGUCCUCCUCAACGACUCCAUCGAGCCUCGCCGACCCCGCCCCCCUACAACGUGGGUGAGAACGCCCCCUCACCCUCCGGUUCCGUUCCGGCAUGCACCGCCUCGUCCCGUCGUCGUUUUCGUCUACUCUAAAUUGAGAAGAGGAGGUGUCGUUUUGUUACUAUCUUUGUUGAGAGAGAAAGAGAUGUGCAGUGUUGAGAGAGAGAGAUGUGUAGAGAGAUAACAGUGAGAAAUAAAAGAAAAUAUGUUAGGAAAAUAACAAAAUAAAAGGAUAUAUAUGUAUGUAUGCAAAUAUAUGUAUGGAUGUAUGUAUGAAAUAUGUGUGUAUGAAUAUGGAAUAUGUGUAUAUUUGGUAUGUAUGAAUUAGUGGUAUGGAUGUGUGUGCGUGUAGCGUAUUUGUGGGCUCACUGUCCCAAUGACAGUUGGGCCCCACCACUCCCACAAAAUGACAGGUGGGGUCCCUCCUAAAAAUAAAUAAAUAAAUAAAUAAAUAUGUUUUUAUUAAUAAAAUAAAUAAAUAAAUAAUUAUAUAUAAUUAACUAAUUAAUUAGAUAAAUUAGUAAUAUGUUAAUAUAGAUAAAUAAUUGUCCUAUUAGAAUAUGACACGUCGGUCCCCCACUAAAUUAAUCUGAUUAAUUAAUAAUUAACUUUAAUUAAAAAUUGUGUGUAUGACACAUGGGACCCAGUGGUUAGUUUGACCAGUCAACUGUUGAUGUCAGCAUGACAUCAUGAUGAUGUCAUAAUAGUAUUUAAUAAUUAACUAAAUCUGUUUUUAAUUCCUAAAUAUUCAUAAAACUUUUAAAAUUAAUAUAAAAUAAACCAUAAGUCACAUCAAAAUAUUUUCAACAUGAAAGUUGAUGAGCACAGCGAGACGAACCCGGAUAUGUGGUCCAUUUGUCCUACACGCGUCCCUAGCAUAACAAACGUGGAGCUUUUCCAUCGUUUUCAGUCUGACCGGUAGUAGCCACAGACCUGGGGAUAUUUUCCCGACCCGUUUAUGAAGCAUGUUACUACGUUAGCUCAUGCCUAGCCUGCAUAUUGCCAUGUCAUGCUUAGUGUUGCACCUGUUGCUGUUAUUUAUUGUUUCUCCCCUCUCUUCUUAUUGGUAGACCCUGAGACUAAUGCUGCUGCCGGGUACAUCGACGACCCUGCCGACCAGCCCUUUGCCGUAGAGCAACAAGGCGAGCAAACCCCCUUGAUCAUCCCUAUAUCGCCUAUUCUUUCUUCCUCAUGCUUGCAUUAGAAUUUUACUACUGUUAUAGUUAGCUCCUAUAUCUGAUGCAUAGCCUAAUUUUGAUGAACUGCUACUUUCAGUACCGCACUUUAGACUGUUUAAUAUAGGUGGAGCAGUCAUCCCCUCUGACCCCGUAGUCCAGUUGCCCCGCUUUGUUUUCAAGUCUUGAUCCCUGAUCGACGAGCCAUACCCGGCACAACACUUACACCCCCCUAAGUUGUGUGACACUACAGAGAUACUAUCGGGUAUCGAGGGUGACACCUCGCGAAGUACUCCUGAUGAUAUCUUUGUAGUACAGCUAGUCGGUCGUGGUUAUCGAGGGUGAUUCCUCUUUCACCAUUCCGGACGAUGCCUCUGUCGUGCAACCCCUCAAGUGUGGGACCCUCGAGGGUGAUUCCUCUAGGUCCACCUUGACGGAUACAUCGUUCAAAAUCCAAUGAGGGUGAUACGUCGGAUCCCCCCUGAUGUUUCUACCACACAGUUACUUGACCAUAUUACUGGGAUCUUUGAUGAAUAGAUGUUAGGCGGGUGGAUCCCCGCAUGUUUGUGUCGAUGACAUAAUUAAAAUGAUAAUUUAUUUUGGUAUUUGAUCUGGGUUGGUCGGAGACCUUUUUGCACUAACCGGCUACGCGGGAAGAAUUAUGGGUACUCGACGUCGCGGUAUCAACCAAAGCUCUUCAGACGUUAGCGAUGGAGUGGCGCGCGCCCGAGUGGUCCCGAGAUGCAUCGCACUUGUUAUAAGGGGUGCUAGGACUGACAUUGUCCGCCCUACCAUCGUGCAGGAGCGCAGAGGGAAAGUGGGCCCACAACCCCUUUAUGCUUAGGAGUUAGACUGGCGGGCUGGCCUCUCUGUUGAGCUUAGGUGGGGCUGCGACGUAUCGAUAUUCCGAGGCCGGACAUGACCCAGAAAAGUGUGCCCGGCCAGAGUGUUAUCAAGUGUGACGGGAAACUUGGUGCACCCCUGCAGGGCUGAAAAUUAACUAUUCGGAUCGCCGUGUCCACGGUUACAGGAUGACUUGGAGUUGUGCCCUGAUCUUAUACAACUACAACUGUUACUUAACUGGAAUUAAAUGCCUUGGGAUUGCUUCCUCGCAGGGAGUCGAGGGAGGAUCUCUGGGCGUGACCUCAUAUUAAUUUUUGCUGCAACAAUAUGACUAUUAAUUAUGUUACCUGUUCUACUCUCUUCUAUUGCUGCAAGACCCCUGAAGAUGCUAGUCUUCCAUAUGACUAGGACUUCUCUCUCUAUUCUCGCAUUGCUGCAGUCAGUCCACAUAUAAACCCCUUCUUUUAUACUGAUGCAUACUUAGCAUAGUUCUGAUAUAAGCCUUCAAAUCUUCAAUUUCUUCGGAUUUUGAAAUUCAUCAAAUUUUCAAAUUCCUCAAGAAGUUCAAAUUCUUCAAACUUUUCAACAUCUGUUCUUCAUGUUCUUAGCAAAUUGUCCUCCAAAAUGACAUAAUUAACUUAUUUAGUUCAUUUAUGACAUAAUUAGCUUAGUUAGGUUAGAAAUGGCAUCAUAACCUUGGUUAGCUCAUAAAUGUUAUAUGCUUAGCUUGUUUUCAUCUAAAAUGACAUAAUUAUCUUAGUUGGGUUAAAAAUGGCAUAAUAACCUUGGUUAGCUCAUAAAUGCAAUAUACUUAGUUUAUCUUCCUCUAAAAUGACAUAAUUACCUUAGUUAGGUCAGAAAUGACAUAAUAACCUUGGUUAGCUCAUAAAUGUCAUAUUCUUAGCUUAGUUUCCUCUAAAAUGACAUAAUAAGCUUAGGUAUGUCAAAAAUGGGAUAAUAACCUUGGUUACCUCAUAAAUGUCAUAUAUUUAGCUUAUUUUCCUCAAAAAUGAUAUAAUAAGAUCAAAAAUGGCAUAAAAAUAAAAAGAACGAAUAGAAGAGGAAAGAGGCGAAAAUGGAAGAAAAAAGAAGAAUGAGCUUAUUCUUUCUUUCUUCUUUUUAUUUUCCUUCUCUUUCUUCUUCUUCUUCUAGUCUUUUCAAUCUCCUUCUCCUUCUCCUUCUUCUUCUAGUCUUCUUCUUCUUCUUAUUCUUCUUGUUUUCUCAACUAAUUAUCCUCCAAAAUGACGUAAUUAGCUUAUUUAGUUAAUUGAUGACAUAAUUAGCUUAGUUAGGUCAGAUUUGGCAUAAUAACCUUGUUUAUCUUAUAAAUGUUAUAUACUUAGUUCGUUUUCCGUAAAAAUGGCAUAAAAAGAAAAAAAAGAAUAGAAGAGGAAAGGGAACAAAAAGAAAGAAUAAAAGAAGAAGAAUGAGCUUCUUCUUUCUUUCUUAUUAUUAUUUUCCUUCUCUUUCCUCUUCAUUUUCUUCAUCAUCAUCAUCAUCAUCUUCUUCUUCUUCUAGUCUUCUUCUUCUUCUUCUUCUUCCGUACCUUCUUCUUCUUCUUCUUCUUCUUCUUCUUCCUCUUCUUCUCAUUCUUCUAGUCUUCUUCUUCUUCUUCUUCUUCUUCUCCUACUUCAUCUUCAUAUUCUGCAUCACCAUCAUCAUCAU
rnacentral:lncRNA from 1 species